ACUGCUUUUUUUACUUGUCAAUUUUUUUUCGCCAUAAUUCAUAUGUCUCGCUAAUCCUCUUAUAUUCUAACUUUUGUAUUACCUUGCAGUCGUUUUCUAAAAUUUUAAUAGCUAUACUAAUGCAGUUAAACUAAACCUAUGCCUACAAUUAAUGAUUCAAAUGUCCACAAAGCGAGAUUGCGACUUCUGAAUAUGGCGAGGUGACUCCAAAUCGGAAGAUGCCAUGAUUAUUAGAAAUAAACUUAUUCAGUUAGGCCAUAGCAUAAUGCUGAAGUGAUGGUUGGUGUCUGGUUUUUGAAUCGAAGACUUACGAAGGUGGCGAUGCAGAACUAGAGUACAGUUGCGAUCGUAUUUUUGUAAACGAGAUUUGAAUGUUGACAUCGGGAACAACUGGAGUGGAACAGAAACCGCGGUUGAAUGAUUACAAAAUUAGGGAUUAAAUGUUGAAGACUCAUCGAGGACAUGGCCGUGCAAAGAUAUCGGGCUAGUCUAUAUUACCGAUUUUGUCGCGUGUCCACGCGGUCUUUCCAUAUUGGACGCCGUCGGGUGAGUACUAUUAUUUUCAUUCGUGUUAAUUUUCUUUUGUGUUAUGUACAUCCCCGUGUCACUAAUUCUUUUAUGUAAUAUACUGUUUCUUCAUAAUUUCAUACAUAUACACUAAUGCAGUUAGACUAAACUUAGGCUUUAAUUAAAUUGUUGAUGAAAUCGUCUACGAAGUGAGGAAUCGACUGCAAGUUAGAAAUUGCUGAUUGGAGACGAAAACGGAAGAUGUAAUGAAUACUAGCUAAGGGUACACCGAAAAAAGAUUCGAGCGAUUUUACAAGCCUACAAUGCAAGUUCUAAAACUGCUAGAACGGAACAAGGUCUAAAGAUGAAAUGCCUACUAGCGGAAGAUGAACUUAAUUAUUCAGUUACUUACGGAAACGAGCACGAGACGAUCGAGUAAUAAGACAUACAAGAAUACAGUAUAAAUUCGAGGGAUAUUGGCCUUUGGCUUAGGAACUUUGGAAUCUUAUUGUACAAGCGAAUCUGGCGUCAAGUCUAAUUCUGGAUCGUAACUGGACUACAAUACAACGAUGUCACUGAAACUGAAAAUACCAACGAAGAAAACAACAAACCGUGAUGAUGAAAAAAACUUUCGGACUUUUGCAACCUUUGUAUUUACAUAUUCUUAUAUAUUACUCGUGAUUAUCGGGGUUAUAAACUAUAAGCUGAUCAGUCGAAAAUAACAAUCGUAAUACUGCUAGUGCCAGUUUGUUAUUUUAUUUUCUUAAUUUUUCUGACUUAUUAGCUUUGGCAUGGUAUCUUUCGAUUUUUUUGAAAUCUUGAUAAAAUGUCUCCUUAUGCCCACCAAUUUAAUCUGACGUUAUCAGGGCGCGCAUUAACAAGGCCUCGCAAAGUUUGUUCUCUCAUUUACUCAAAAUUAAAGUGGAGUAGAAUAGCUUAAAAGCUAGUCAAUACGACGAGUAAAGCAUCUUCAAGCUUGCGAAUUCUAUACAAAUGUCGUGUCCGGAACAAACCCUUGACAUUAUUCUUACUUAAUUGCAAAUAUAUAUAUAUUAGUUAUUUGCUUUCUUUAAAUGCGAAUCUACAUAUUACCUUCUCUAUCUGUAUAAAAUCUAACGACUACAAAGCUUAAAUUUCAUUUGAGCUCUCUAAAUAUUGACUUGAACUGCCUUAAUUGAGUCGGAGUUGACAAGUUUAAUUUGAUGUUAUAUCCGGAACCGUAAUAGUUCUCGAUUUCAGAUUAUUAUAUUGAAAAUCUGAUUAUAAAUUUCAAACAGUUUAAUAAAGCUUGUUUUUCUUGCCAAAGCAUUUUUUUUCUGAGCAGUAAUGUAAUACUUA